rnacentral:rRNA from 1 species
AUACGGAGGGGGCUAGCGUUGUUCGGAAUUACUGGGCGUAAAGCGCGUGUAGGCGGAUCGUUAAGUCAGGGGUGAAAGCCCGGGGCUCAACCCCGGAACUGCCCUUGAUACUGGCGAUCUAGAGUCCGGAAGAGGUGGGCGGAAUUCCCGGUGUAGAGGUGAAAUUCGUAGAUAUCUGGAGGAACACCAGUGGCGAAGGCGGCUCACUGGUCCGGCACUGACGCUGAGACGCGAAAGCGUGGGGAGCAAACAGGAUUAGAAACCCUAGUAGUCC